CAAAGGCUUGGUCCUGACUUUAUUAUCAGCUUUAGCCGAACUUACACAUGCAAGUAUCCGCACCCCUGUGAGAAUGCCCUCAGUCCCCUGCCUGGGGACAAGGAGCUGG
rnacentral:rRNA from 1 species